GGAUACUGGAGUAGGAGGUGCCACAACCUUGUGUGACCCGGAUACUCGUUCAUUGAUUUUUCCCUACUAAUUAUUGAGCACUUCAGAUGCCCUGGGUGUUGAGGAUAAGCAAUAAAGAGGUUUCUAGAUCCUUUUGGGGUUCACAUGUGGGCAGUAUAAUCUUCUGUGAUCCUACCUCAGCGAAAACAUUCCAGUCAUCUGUGGGCAGGGGUAACAAAGGCCAUGAAACUUCUGCAGGUUUAGGGGUGGGGAGGGGCCUCCCUGCUGGGGGCCCAUCUCCUCUGCCACCUCUUUCCUGUCAUACAGCAGUGAGGAUCGGGACCUGCUCUGUCAACUCUGUUACGUGGUUUACUGACCAAGGUAACCAGGAGAUCAGCCUGUGGAGUUUGGGGGUCAGGAGGGCUUGAGUUUGAGUCUUGAAUCCAUCAUUAAUCAGUUGUGUGACUUUGGAAACUCAGUCUCUUCAGUUCACUCAAAAGGAGGCUGGGCUAUGAGAAGUCCAACAAAGCACAUGGUAAGCAUUUUACUAGAUUACUGUUAAUUUUUUAAAGCUAUAUAUUAUUUGGCCAUGAACAAGCAAUGAAAGAGAACAAACAAUGAUCAGAAUGAUAGCUAACAUUUAUUGAGUGCCUAGGAUGGAUUAGACACUGUUGAAAGAUCUCUCCAUGUACUAAAUUAAUUCUCUUCACAAUCAAUGAGGUCUGUACAAUUAACGUCAGUAUACAAAGAAGAAGCACAUCCAGCCACAGGUAGAGGAGUCAGGAUUUGAACCAAGGUGGCUGAACUUGAGCGCUUGCACUCACCAGCAGGAGGUAAGCUUCGUGUGGGCCUUCUUGGGAAGUUGGAAGCAGAGGGUGAUGCUUAGGGAGGGUGAAUAGGAGGCUUUGGUCCUGGGGGCAGCAUGUGGGCUUUGGGCUUUGGGAAGAGGGCAAGACAGGAUGACCAUGGACAUGGAGUUGGGUGUUUGAGACAGCUGUCACCUGUGGGAUCUUGAAGACUGAAUUCUAAAGGUGAAUCACACUGUCAGAGCUUCUGUUUCCUUAGAGAUGGUCUAGACUCAUCUCAUGCUCUUUUAAACUGUGCCCUGUGGACCCUUAGAGUCCUCCAAGGAGUGGGUAGAUGGGGUCCUAGGUGGGGGCUCAGCACAUGGGUCUUUAAGACCCUCUUGCUUGCUUCAACUAGAGCGAUUUCACUUUGCUUUUCACUUUUUUUUUUCUUUUAGGUACAACUUACAUACAACAAAGCGCACAAAUCUCAUGAGAAAGCUUGAUGAGUUUUUAUAUAUGUAUACAUCCAGGUAGCCAUUACCCAGAUCAAGGUAAAGAACAUUCUCUGCUCCCCGGGGCAAGUUCUCUGCUGUCCCCUCCUAGUCAGUGCCCUCACGAAAGAUAACCACCUUCUGAUCUUGCCUGUUUUUGAACUUCAUAUAAAUAGAAUUAUAAAGUUCAUGCUCUUUUUGUGUCUGGCUUCUUUCACUCAAAAUUAUAUGGAGACAUUCAUCCACAUUUUGGAGUGUAGCAAUGGUCUUUGUUUUUUCAUUGCCAUGUAGUAUUACACUGCAUGACAAUAUUACAGUUUAUUGAUCUUUUGUACUAUUGAUGCACAGUUGGGUUGUUUCUGGGUUUUGGUAUUAUGAACAUAGCUGUUAUGAACAUUCUUGCACAAGCCUUGUGAUGGACAAAUGAGUGCAUUUCUGUUGAGUGUAUACCCAGGGAUGGUUUAUAGAGCUCUGGUGGGUAGAAUAGCUGUUUUUGAAUAGACAUUUCAUAAAGCAGGGGUCCUCAUAAGAUUUCACUUGGGACGUGUGGCUGCUUAAGAUUUCUUUUUAAAGGAAAAAGUUUAACUUCCACGAGUGCAAUCCUCUGCAUUUGCAGAUGAUCAGAGGGAGAUUCAGAGAAGACGGUGAUUUGCUCAGACUUAAGCCACAGCAAAGCCAUGCCUGGAACUCAAUUACUAGAUAGAAGUUUCUUAUGAACUUCUGAGCUGUCUGAAAUGGGUGCUAUAUAUCACUCAACCUGGCUGCUGGUCAGAUGUGGAAAGGACAAUCUGAGUCAGAAGCCCUGGGUUCAAGCCCCACAACUGUUACCAGUGUGUGAUGCAUGGCAAGGUACUUGCUGCUGUGAACUAACUGGAAAGUGGAUACCCCUGCUUCCCAGCAUUGCUGGAUUAAAGGAGAUCACGAUGCAGAGACACUCCAUUGGUUGAGAAGCACUUAACAUCAUUAUUAUCAUUACCAUCAAAAUAUAUUCUAAGGGGAUGCUUUGGAGCCCGAGAUGUAAGGUAGAGCUGAACAGAGGCAUGAUGCACAGAUAACUGUGGCUCAAACCUGAAGAAUGAAGCAGGGUGGGGCCCACGGUGUGGGGCUGGCCAGAGCGGACAGUUACUGAGAACAUUCUACGCGGUGAGCGCUGCUCUGAGUGCUCUUCCUCUACCCUCCCAUUUAAUCCUCACAAAACCCAGUGAGGAACAACCUGUAUAUGCCUAUUUUCCAAAGAAGGACUUGAGGCACAGAGCACUUAAGCAACUCGCUUAAUGUCACAGUCAAUGGCAUUGAAACCCUGGCACCCCCAAGCGUAUGGUCUUUUCAUUCACCCUGCAUUCAUUCACCCAAGGCUGACACAGUGCCCCCUCUGUGCUAGGGGACGGGGUGCAGAGCUGGACACUUUGGUUCCCCCAACCUCACAGCCCUCACCGUCUUUCUAAUCCAAUCCAGUUGGCACUCUCCCACACUUGAGUUCAGAGCACUCAAGAACUGCUCUGAAAUGUAGCUGGUCUGAGCUUAUGUGCUAUAUGUGUAGAAUACACACCAGGUUUAGAAGACCUAAUAAAAAAGAAUGCAAAAUAUACCAUUAAUAAUUUUUAAUAUUGACUGCAUGUUGAAGUGACUGUGUUUUGGAUAUAAACUAUAUCAUUAAGGUUUAUUGUACCUUUAAGAAAAAAAAGUGGCCACCAGAAAACUAGAGUCAUGUGGGCGUUCACAUGCUAUUUGUGUUGGAUGGCGUUGUUCUAGAAUGUGAAGUCCUUGAAGGCAGGGGCUGUCUCUGUAUUGUUCACCGUGGGUCCCAGGAGACAGAACAGGGCCAGUACACAAUGGUCCCUCAAUAGAGUUGUUGGAUAAUUGAAUAAAUGACCAAAUCCCAUGCACCUUUGCCUGCUCAUCUGUUCCCUGUGAACACAAGGUCAGACCUCACUUGUACCUUGCUUUGUCUCUCUGGGAAAUCCCUCAGUUAUUCUGAGGCUUAAACAGAAAACAGAGGCUGCUUCAUGCCAAGAAAUGGAGAGGCUGCAUAUGUGGUGGAAUUUGGAAAAUAAAAAGGGUCAGAGUAUUUCCAGCCACAAUGGCAGCUAUCACUGACUGGAUGCAAAUUCUGUGCCUGGCAUCAUUCUCAACACUUUGUACAGAGUGAGCCAUUUAAUUCUAACGACACUAUGACAUCCAUCUCGCCAUCAGCUCCAUUUGAUAGAUGGGGGAAAUUAAAGCUCAGAUAGACUAAGUCACACCCCUGGGAUUACAGGGCUGGAUUUGUAACCAGGUCUGUUUGAUAAUGACACUUGGGUUCUCAACCACUCCCACAGAGCAUAGGGAAAAUGGGACUGGGAUUCCCCCUCCCCCACAGAGUGACCCUUCACCAGGUCCCCUUUGUGCUGAGGCCCCAGAGCAGCCCUAGACAGCAGACGUCCUGGCUCUCCUGGGUUCUGGGGAACCUAUCAUCUGUGUGGUGUAUUACCACAUUUUCUGGGCAUCUAGGCUCAUUCUGCCAGUACAUCCAGCCAUAUCUUGUCAUGUAUCUUCUUCACCAGAUGGCUGGGCUGUUUGUGGGCUGGCUCCCCCACCUUCUGUACCUGUGACAUGGCCAUAAGCCAGCAGGUGAGUGAGCAUCUGGGACAGGGAAUAGCCCCCACCCGUGCCGUCUGAGAACCCAUCCCUUCUUGUCCUUUGGGACCUUGGCUUCUGCCAAUUCCUGGAGAGCAGAAACUCACAUAGAGGCCCCAAACCACUUGUUCCAGUGCUGCUGAGGAAUGUGUGCUGAUCUUCCAUGUGUUUGUAUUAGUCCAUUGUCCCUUCAGGUCAGGUGGUGGGCCUGCAGGUCAUGAACCCAGGUGCUGGGAUCAGGCACCGUGCCCUUCAGUUCAGAACAUCACCUCUAGCCGUAUUGUUGGAGAGCUCAUUCUUUCUCUCUAAGGCUCAGCCUCCUCUUCAGUGAAAUGAGGUCAGUAAGAAACCACUUACUUUGCUAUUGUUUCCUGUCAAGGCGUAGCUCAAAGUCUUGACCCCCUGUCCUCUAAACUCAUACCGCAGUCCUGACUCCUGCAUGGAUUAACACCCAUUCAUUUGUAAUGUCACCUGGUGGUGUGCAUGCAUCUGGCAGGUAUGGUUCCCAUGGUCUUCAAAGAGAAAAUGCUUAGCACAUGAGCUAGCACUACUGCCUGGUUCAGGUCCUGAGCCUGCUCCUUCUUACUCCCUAUGUGGCCUUGGUGAGGUUACUGUACCUCUCUGAACCUCGGUUUCCUUAUCUCUAAGUGGCGAUAGUAAUACUCCUCUUGAAAGGUUGUGGUGGGGCCACGUGGAACAGUCCUGGAAAACGCAUGUAAAAUGCGGUCAUGACUUCAAGAGGGGUGUGUUCAUGUCCCUGUCCAUCCACACUCUACCUGGCACCUGCUCUUCCCAUGAUGACCAGCCCAUCUCCAUGAAUGCAACUCAGCUUUCCCUUUGCUGAAGCCAAAAAACUUGGCAUCAUCGUUGACUCCAUUCUCUCUCAAACAGCCGUGAAAUACUGUUGGCGGGUUGUCCCGCCUUCACCUGCUCCACCUCUCUGCUGACCCUGGUCAAAGUUGCCAGCUUCUCCUACCUGCAUCUCAACUCCUACCUGGUCUCCCUGUUUCCAUCCUUGACUCCACAGCAUGAUCCUUUGGUGGGAUUAGCUUGUUUGUAGAUCGUUUUUAUUUUUUUAAGCAAAUACUUAAAUGGUGCUCCCUAGGUGCCAGGCACAAGUCUGAGUGCUUUACAGAUUUCAACUCACCUGGAUUCUUACAACAGCCCCAGGAAGACAGUACUUAACUGAAGUCACCUAUCUAGUCAGUGGCAGGGCUGGGGUGGCCAUCUGGCUCCUGAUUGGUGCUGCCAACAGUGAUCCUCUUAAAACACGUCAGAUUGUGCCCCUGCUCUGCUCAGACCCUCCAGUGGCUUCUCGUGGGCUCGGAGUAAAAGCCAAAUCCUCACCAUUCUGCUCUAGCUAUGCUGGCCUUAAACACCGCAAGCCCACUCCUGCCUCAGGGUCUCUAUGCUUGCUGGUUUGCUUUCAUGUCCUCAGCCCAACCAGCCCUGAUUUUCUCAGGGCCAUGAGCUCUGUUAAUGUCCAUGAGUUUGGACAUUAUCUGAAGGGAAUGAGGAAUCCACUAAGGAGCAUGGAAAAAAAGUCACGUAAUGUGGUGUGCCGGAGCUUGUACUUGCUCACCAGGGCCAGUUAAAUUUUUAGGAGAUUCGCAAGCUGAGUAUUAAAUCAUGGUAGCUUGAAAUUCAAAAACAGGUGAGAGAGAGCAUUUACACCAUGGAAGUUGGCAAGCACUACAAAUCAUGGCUCCCCUCCCACCCUGCCUCCCCAGAGAGCUGUCGUUAAGUAUUUACCAGCAUGCCAGUGGCUUUGACAAAGGUUUGUAUGAAGUGCAAGUAAGGUGUUAACUUACUAAGUCAGGACAGGCUUCCCAGAAGACCUGGCAUAUAAACUGGGUCCUGAGACAUCAGUAGGCACUUGCCAAAGAUGAGAAGGCAUCCCAGACUGAGCAAACCAAGUGAGGAAAAGCACAAAGGUAUGAAAUUUCCCUUUGGGGUUAUUAAGUACUGCAGGGUGGCAAUGGUGUGUGGAGGGGAGGAGAAGGGGGAAGGCACGUUGUAUGAAAAGAGAACAGCAGAGACAGGCUGGAGGCAGAUUGUGUGAGAACCUCAAGACCAGGUAAGGGGCUUGGACUCUCUCCUGGGGUCCUCGGGAGCCAUGGCAGGUUGUGGAGCAGGGGUAGGUCAAGGCAUUGCUGAACACUGCAUGUUAGCAAGCCUAUUCUGGUUGUCGUGUGGAGAAUGCAUCAGAGAUGGGAGGUCAGGCACUGUUUGGAACCAGUUCACUUUGCAUGCUUAUGGUGAGGGUUAAGAGUAGAUGAUACAGACAGUGCCUGCCUAUGGAUAUUCCCAUACAGCUCUGUGGGAAGACUUGUCCCAUGGAGGUCCCAUGAGCCUCUUUUUGGGGAGUUAGUUCACUGCCAAUUGCAAAGCUUUCUGGGAAACAAGAAAAUUGCAGUGAGUCCUCCUUGUAAGGGAGCGUGUAAGAGGGUUGUCGUCCAUCUGACCUUGGGACCUCCCUCACUUGGGACCCAGGCUCCAUGCACAGUCAGUCCCGGGAAGGCCAUAUAGGAAGUGGGUGGAAAUAAUAGCAAGUGUGGGCACUUUCUAAUUGUAGACUGUUCAAGGCUCUUUACGUGUGUUAACGCCUUUGGUUUCCCAGUGUGCCAUUGGGGGAGGAACAGUUGUGAUCCCCAUCUUACAAAUGAAACAGAGAUUAGGCAACUUGUGCGAGGGCCAGCCAGUGCACAGAAGAGCUGGACUCCAACCCUAGAGACCAUCCUCUUUACUGCCAUCCUAUGCUGCCUCUCUGUUUUCAGAUACAAUGGUUCUUAUUUUUGCAAUGGCCACAGCUCCUACUUUUAUUUUCCAUUUUGUACGUGGAGAAGCUGAGGUUCAAGGAGAUUUCACGGUUGUCCCGGGCCAGUGAACAGCAGAGCUGGCCCUCAAACCCUGUAGCCUGAGCCCCGCCUUCCAGGAAGGAGGGAGACAAGAUGAGAGAAGGUAAAGAUGGGCCCCAGAGGGCAAGAGUGCCCCAGCCUGUGAGGUUUGGGUCCGGUGCUUUCAAAAGGAUGAGAAUUUUUGUCUUCACAGUUUGGAAAUCCCAUAGGAGGACACAAACAUCACCCACAAUGGCUCUUUUCCCGCCACACCCACCUCCUCUCUUGGCCAAGACUUUGGUUCUUCCAGGAUGUGACAACAAAAUCUUGCCUCAGAGUUGGAGGAUGCAAAUGUCAGGGCUUCCCUCUGGGUCUUAGAGGAUAGGUGUUUCGGGGAGUGGUUUCACUGGGAGUGAAGAAAACUGCUGUCCAAACCCCAUGUCACUUUGCAUUUUGAAACUCUGCCCGUAGGCCUUGGUGUACAUCCCUGAUAGUUAACACACACCAAGUGGUGGAGCCUGGAGAGGUGCCCGGUGCCCAUCACAGCCUGGGGAAGCCCCAAGAAGCUGGCACAUGAUGAAUUAGGAGUUACCCAGUUUACUGAGCAGCAGCAGCAUCAACUUUGGGGGCCAACUUCGAGGAAAUCCAAGGAGCCUGUAACAAGAACUCCCAUUUAUUGAGCACUCAUUAUGGACCAGGAACCAGGCUAAGCAUCUCACUGACUACUCAAACAAUGCUAUGACCUAAGCCUUGGUUGAAAGAUGGGAAACUGAGUUUAAGUGUCCUGCCCCAGGGCUGAGCUGACAUUUGAAUCCAGGUCAGACUCCAUGUGUGCAAAUUAAACACCUGCACCCUGACUGCUGUGGGGGAGUGAAGGCAGAAGCAGCAGGACCAGUGAGGAGGUAGACACAAUAAUCCAGGUGGGAAAAAAUGAUAGCUCACACUAAGGUGGUGUUGGAGAAGUGGUACGGGAUGCUUGGAUUCAAGGUGUAUAUUGAAGCCGUGUUGAUGGUUGGAUGUGAAACGUGAAAAAGAUAUUAAUCAAAAGACAAGACCUAGAUUUUUGAUCUGAGCAACAAAGCGCAAGAAAGUGUCAUUUGCUAAGAUGGGGACCUCAAGGGCAGGGCAGGGUUUGGGGGUGAAGAUCGAAAACUAACCUGGAGGGUCAAUUCACCAACUGAAUGGAAACACCAUCAGGGGAGAGGUAGUGAGAAGAGGUGUACAUUUGGUUGUCAUCAGUGUAUAGAUGCAGUUUAAAGUCCUGGGCUCGAUGAGAUCGUCAAGUAAAGGACUAUAAAUAAGAAAAUGGCCAAGGGCGGAGCUUUAGAGAGUCUAGCAAUUAAAGGGUGAGCUGUGUGUGUGUGUGUAUGGGGGGGCGGGUAGCUAGCAGAGGAGACUGAGCAGGAAAAAGCAGUGGGUAGGAGGACAACCAGGUGAGGGUUAAAGAAAAACAUGUUUUGGGGUGCUUGGGUGUUUCAGUUGGUUAAGUGUACAACUCUUGAUUUCGGCUUAGGUCAUGGUCUCCCAGCUGGUCCUGAGAUUCAGCUGGAUUCUGUGAUGGGUGUGGAGCCUGCAUGGGAUUCUCUCUCUCUCCCUUGUCCUCUGUCCUUACCCUGUGCACACACACGUGUGUGUGUCUUUCUCUUUGUCUCAAAAAAUUAAAACUGAAAAAAGAAGAACAUGUUUCAAGAAGGAGAAGUGAUCAUCAGGUCAUUGCUGCUGAAGGUCAAAUAGGAUAAGGAGAGAUUUGGCCAUUGGCUUUGGCAAAGCGUAGCCCUUUAUUGACCCUGAUACCCUAGUGAUGACAAACUCUUUAGACCUAUCAUGGUGGCUGCCCUUCAGUUUCUGGGUAAGGAUCCCAAGAUUAUGGAGCAUAGAGAUGACAGAGCCACCAUUUAUUUAGACAGUCUUCUAAGUUUGGACUCUGGAUCUGCCAGUAGCUGUGUGACCUUGGGUAAGUUGCUAACCCCCUCUGAACUUCACUUUCUUCAUCUGUAGAUGGGCAAAGAUAAUGCCUGUCUUAUAAAUUAUGGUGAAGCAUGGAUUACAUGAAAUCAUAUAUACAAAACAUCAAAUGCCUAGUAGGUACUUAUAAUUAUUAUAAUUAUUGGUUUUAUUAAUAUUGUCAGCUUCAGAGUGGUACCUAUAUUUCUGAGAAAAUCAAUGUCCUAAUUUUGAAUGGGGCUUCAUUAAUGCUAAAGAAAGUGAUGGAAAGUUCUUUGCAGUUUCAGACAUUCUUCUCCCUGUGCCACCCCAAAUGCUCAGCACAGAAUUAGACCUAAUCUGAUUAUAUCAAUCUCUGCUUUGAGCAGUUUGUUGUGCUCUCUGGGAAGAGACCAAGACCGCUUCCUGGACCCACAAGGCCUGAGUAGUCCAGGCCCCCCACCUUGUCUCAUACCAGGUCACUUCUCCAACUCCUCAUAGUUUCCUGAGAGUGCUGUUCUCUCUCCAGCAACAGGGCAUUGCUCAUGCUGUUCCCUCUUCCACAAAUUCCUUCUCUUCCCUCUUCCCUGUGUUAAAUUCUCAUCUUUCUCCUCCCGGGCCAAUGGUCACUCCCUUGGGAAGCCCUCCCUGAGCUGGGCUGAAUCAAUUUCUUUGCUAGAAGUUGCC